AGGGAUCAUUACCGAGUUUACAACUCCCAAACCCAAUGUGAACCAUACCAAACUGUUGCCUCGGCGGGGUCACGCCCCGGGUGCGUCGCAGCCCCGGAACCAGGCGCCCGCCGGAGGGACCAACCAAACUCUUUUCUGUAGUCCCCUCGCGGACGUUAUUUCUCACAGCUCUGAGCAAAAAUUCAAAAUGAAUCAAAACUUUCAACAACGGAUCUCUUGGUUCUGGCAUCGAUGAAGAACGCAGCGAAAUGCGAUAAGUAAUGUGAAUUGCAGAAUUCAGUGAAUCAUCGAAUCUUUGAACGCACAUUGCGCCCGCCAGUAUUCUGGCGGGCAUGCCUGUCCGAGCGUCAUUUCAACCCUCGAACCCCUCCGGGGGGUCGGCGUUGGGGAUCGGGAACCCCUAAGACGGGAUCCCGGCCCCGAAAUACAGUGGCGGUCUCGCCGCAGCCUCUCCUGCGCAGUAGUUUGCACAACUCGCACCGGGAGCGCGGCGCGUCCACGUCCGUAAAACACCCAACUUCUGAAAUGUUGACCUCGGAUCAGGUAGGAAUACCCGCUGAACUUAA
rnacentral:rRNA from 1 species